rnacentral:sRNA from 1 species
AAAAGAGAGUCAAAGA